rnacentral:rRNA from 1 species
CCUACGGGUGGCAGCAGUGAGGAAUAUUGGUCAAUGGGCGGAAGCCUGAACCAGCCAAGUAGCGUGCAGGAUGACGGCCCUACGGGUUGUAAACUGCUUUUAUACGGGAAUAACGCGCCUUACGUGUAGGCCUUUGCAUGUACCUUAUGAAUAAGGACCGGCUAAUUCCGUGCCAGCAGCCGCGUUAAUACGGAAGGUCCGGGCGUUAUCCGGUUUUAUUGGGUUUAGAGGGAGCGUAGGCGGCAUGUCAAGCAUGCUGUGAAAUGUCCGGGCUCAACCCGUGCCUUGCAGCGCGAACUGGCGUGCUGGAGUCCGCGGAAGGCAGGCGGAAUUCGUGGUGUAGCGGUGAAAUGCUUAGAUAUGACGAAGAACCCCGAUUGCGAAGGCAGCUUGCUGCAGCGGAACUGACGCUGAUGCUCGAAAGCGCGGGUAUCGAACAGGAUUAGAUACCCCAGUAGUC